AACGAACCCUGGCGGCAGGCUUAACACAUGCAAGUCGAACGAUGUAGCAAUACAUAGUGGCGCACGGGUGAGUAACGCGUGGGAACGUGCCUUUUAGUUUGGAAUAACAUCGGGAAACUGGUGCUAAUGCCAAAUACGCUCUUCGGGGGAAAGAUUUAUCGCUAAAAGAUCGGCCCGCGUCAGAUUAGCUAGUUGGUGGGGUAAUGGCCUGCCAAGGCUCCGAUCUGUAGCUGUUCUGAGAGGAAGAUCAGCCACACUGGAACUGAGACACGGUCCAGACUCCUGCGGGAGGGAGCAGUGGGGAAGAUUGGACAAUGGGGGAAACCCUGAUCCAGCCAUGCCGCGUGAGUGAUUAAGGCCUUAGGGUUGUAAAGCUCUUUUACCAGGGAAGAUGAUGACGGUACCUGGAGAAUAAGCACCGGCUAACUUCGUGCCAGCCGCCGCCGUAA
rnacentral:rRNA from 1 species